rnacentral:sRNA from 1 species
GCUGGAUGUGGUAGUGCAUACCUGUAAUCCCAGCAGCUCAGGAGGCUGAGACAGCAGGAUCGUGAAUUCAAAGCCAGCCUCAGCAAAAGCGAGGUGCUAAGCAAUUCAAUGAGACCCUGUCUCUA